GGGAAAUGCAAACUCCUUACAGCGUGACAGGAAUCCCACUGCUCUGAGGAAAAGACGGCAAGCGGCAUCCCGGGCUGAGUUACCAACAACUAAUGGAAGAUAAACAAAUGAAACUGAGGAAGUCUGGAUGACAAACGAAAAAGAGGAGCUCUAAAUAGAGGAGCUCCCGCAGAAGACGGCGGAAGAAGCCACGUGUGGAACCGGGCGGCAGGAGGAUGCAAGCAGAGGGAGCAAGAAGAGGAAGCAGAAGACUGCGGCUGGGCUAAGGGAGAGGCGGCCUGGGCAAAAGCAUCUCCCUGUCACCAGGGGCAUAGUCAUGUCGCAGUAGAGCGUUGCCCGGCACUUUAGGUGACCAGGCCGGCUUUGUGCUGGGCGACCUCCCUGUAAGCAGGGCUCGGGUCUUUGCUGUAGUUGGCCUUUUGCCUUGUUGCUCCUUUGGCUGCCUGGGGGAAGGUGGGGCCCCUGUAAGGAGGGCGAGAGCCGCUUUCUCCGCACC
rnacentral:lncRNA from 1 species